CCUACGGGAGGCAGCAGUGGGGAAUUUUGGACAAUGGGCGCAAGCCUGAUCCAGCCAUGCCGCGUGUGGGAAGAAGGCCUUCGGGUUGUAAACCACUUUUGUCAGGGAAGAAACGGCUUUUUCUAAUACAGAGAGCUAAUGACGGUACCUGAAGAAUAAGCACCGGCUAACUACGUGCCAGCAGCCGCGGUAAUACGUAGGGUGCAAGCGUUAAUCGGAAUUACUGGGCGUAAAGCGUGCGCAGGCGGCUUUGCAAGACAGAUGUGAAAUCCCCGGGCUCAACCUGGGAACUGCAUUUGUGACUGCAUGGCUAGAGUACGGUAGAGGGGGAUGGAAUUCCGCGUGUAGCAGUGAAAUGCGUAGAUAUGCGGAGGAACACCGAUGGCGAAGGCAAUCCCCUGGACCUGUACUGACGCUCAUGCACGAAAGCGUGGGGAGCAAACAGGAUUAGAUACCCUGGUAGUCCACGCCCUAAACGAUGUCAACUGGUUGUUGGACGGCUUGCUGUUCAGUAACGAAGCUAACGCGUGAAGUUGACCGCCUGGGGAGUACGGCCGCAAGGUUGAAACUCGAAAUGAAUUGACGG
rnacentral:rRNA from 1 species